rnacentral:rRNA from 1 species
GACGAACGCUGGCGGCGUGCUUAACACAUGCAAGUCGAACGGUGAAGCGCCUUCCUUUUUGGUGGGUGUGGAUGAGUGGCGAACGGGUGAGUAACACGUGAGUAACCUGCCCCCUUCUUCUGGAUAACCGCAUGAAAGUGUGGCUAAUACGGGAUAUUCUGGGUCUGUCGCAUGAUGGGUCUGGGAAAGAUAUUGUUUCGGUGGGGGAUGGGCUCGCGGCCUAUCAGCUUGUUGGUGGGGUGAUGGCCUACCAAGGCGGUGACGGGUAGCCGGCCUGAGAGGGUGGACGGUCAUACUGGGACUGAGACACGGCCCAGACUCCUACGGGAGGCAGCAGUGGGGAAUAUUGCACAAUGGGCGCAAGCAUGAUGCAGCGACGCCGCGUGAGGGAUGGAGGCCUUCGGGUUGUGAACCUCUUUCGCCAGUGAAGCAGGCCUGCCUCGUUUGUGGGUGGGUUGACGGUAGCUGGAUAAGAAGCGCCGGCUAACUACGUG